rnacentral:lncRNA from 1 species
GUGGAUCGCCAGGAGCAAAAAGGAACCAAGGAGAAACCCUAGUUCCUAAAAUUCUCAAAAUCAGAAGGAGUUUAAGAGCCUAAACAAAUGCAUGAACCCAAAACUCGAGUUAUCUAAGCUUGUUCAACGAAUGGCACGAAGAAGGAAGAAGGUACGAGUCACUUGAAGUCGCAAGCUUCACAAGAUCACGGUAAGUUCUUAUGAACUUCGCUUAUGUAGAAAGUAGAAUUUUAUGUUAGUUCUCUUGUAAAUAAUUAUUUGAUGUUUUAUGUGAGAAUCAUUAGUAAAAAAUGUCUUAUUACGAAUUAAUAGUAGAAAAAGGAGAAAAAGUAUGUUGACGACCCGUGCAAAUGGGUCUAAAGUAU